ensembl:ncRNA R11F4.5 ncRNA
GCCUAGCCUAAACCUAAGCCAAAGCCUAAGCCUAAGCUUAAGUCUACGCCUAUGUCUAAGCCUAAGCCUAUGCCUAAGCUUAAGCCUAAGCCUAAGCCUAAGACUAAGUCUAAGUCUAAGCCUAAGCCUGAGCCUGAGCCUAAGCAUAAG